rnacentral:rRNA from 1 species
UGGCGGACGGGUGAGUAACGCGUGGGUAACCUACCCUGUACAGGGGGAUAACAGUCAGAAAUGACUGCUAAUACCGCAUAAGACCACAGCACCGCAUGGUGCAGGGGUAAAAACUCCGGUGGUAUGAGAUGGACCCGCGUCUGAUUAGCUAGUUGGUGGGGUAACGGCCUACCAAGGCGACGAUCAGUAGCCGACCUGAGAGGGUGACCGGCCACAUUGGGACUGAGACACGGCCCAA